UACGUAGGGUGCGAGCGUUAAUCGGAAUUACUGGGCGUAAAGCGUGCGCAGGCGGCGCGUUAAGACAGGUGUGAAAGCCCCGAGCUUAACUUGGGAAUUGCGCUUGUGACUGGCGGGCUGGAGUGUGGCAGAGGGAGGUGGAAUUCCACGUGUAGCAGUGAGAUGCGUAGAGAUGUGGAGGAACACCGAUGGCGAAGGCAGCCUCCUGGGCCAACACUGACGCUCAUGCACGAAAGCGUGGGGAGCAAACAGG
rnacentral:rRNA from 1 species